rnacentral:rRNA from 1 species
CCUACGGGAGGCAGCUGUGAGGAAUAUUGGUCAAUGGACGAGAGUCUGAACCAGCCAAGUAGCGUGAAGGAUGACUGCCCUCUGGGUUGUAAACUUCUUUUAUAUGGGAAUAAAAUGUUCCACGUGUGGGAUUUUGUAUGUACCAUAUGAAUAAGGAUCGGCUAACUCCGUGCCAGCAGCCGCGGUAAUACGGAGGAUCCGAGAGUUAUCCGGAAUUAUUGGGUUUAAAGGGAGCGUAGGUGGAUUGUUAAGUAAGUUGUGAAAGUUUGUGGCUCAACCGUAAAAUUGCAGUUGAAACUGGCAGUCUUGAGUACAGUAGAGGUGGGCGGAAUUCGUGGUGUAGCGGUGAAAUGCUUAGAUAUCACGAAGAACUCCGAUUGCGAAGGCAGUUCACUGGACUGCAACUGACACUGAGGCUCGAAAGUGUGGGUAUCAAACAGGAUUAGAUACUCCUGUAGUC